rnacentral:rRNA from 1 species
AGAUCAGAAGCGAGAAUGUUGACAUGAGUAGCGACAAACAGGGUGAGAAACCCUGUCGCCGAAAGUCCAAGGGUUCCUGCUUAAAGCUAAUCUGAGCAGGGUAAGCCGGCCCCUAAGGCGAGGCCGAAAGGCGUAGUCGAUGGGAACCAGGUUAAUAUUCCUGGGCCAGUGGGAUGUGACGGAUCGCAGAUGUAGUUUGCCUUUAUCGGAUUGGGUGGGCUGCUGAGCGGUUCCUGGAAAUAGCCCCACAUCAGACCGUACCCUAAACCGACACAGGUGGACUGGUAGAGUAUACCAAGGCGCUUGAGAGAACCACGUUAAAGGAACUCGGCAAAAUGCCUCCGUAAGUUCGCGAGAAGGAGGCCCCGUCUGUAGGCAACUAUGGGCGGGGGGCACGAACUAGGGGGUGGCGACUGUUUACUUAAAACACAGGGCUGUGCGGAGCCGUAAGGCGACGUAUACAGUCUGACGCCUGCCCGGUGCUGGAAGAUUAAGAGGAGGGGUGCAAGCUCUGAAUUGAAGUCCCAGUAAACGGCGGCCGUAACAAUAACGGUCCUAAGGUAGCGAAAUUCCUUGUCGGGUAAGUUCCGACCUGCACGAAUGGCGUAACGAUCUCCCCGCUGUCUCUAACGUGGACUCAGCGAAAUUGAACUGUGUGUCAAGAUGCACACUACCCGCGGUUAGACGGAAAGACCCCAUGAACCUUUACUCCAGCUUUGCACUGGUAUCAGGAUUGUGAUGUGCAGGAUAGGUGGUAGGCAUUGAAUCGGGGACGCCAGUCUUCGUGGAGCCUCCCUUGAGAUACCACCCUUCGCCAUCUUGAUAUCUAACCGCGGCCCGUUAUCCGGGUCCGGGACCCUGCAUGGUGGGGAGUUUGACUGGGGCGGUCGCCUCCCAAACAGUAACGGAGGCGCGCGAUGGUUGGCUCAGACCGGUCGGAAAUCGGUCGUUGAGUGCAAUGACAGAAGCCAGCCUGACUGCAAGACUGACAAGUCGAGCAGAGACGAAAGUCGGUCAUAGUGAUCCGGUGGUCCCAAGUGGGAGGGCCAUCGCUCAACGGAUAAAAGGUACUCUGGGGAUAACAGGCUGAUGAUGCCCAAGAGUCCAUAUCGACGGCAUCGUUUGGCACCUCGAUGUCGGCUCAUCUCAUCCUGGGGCUGGAGCAGGUCCCAAGGGUAUGGCUGUUCGCCAUUUUAAAGAGGUACGUGAGCUGGGUUUAGAACGUCGUGAGACAGUUCGGUCCCUAUCUGCCGUGGGUGCAGGAGACUUGAGAAGAGUUGACCCUAGUACGAGAGGACCGGGUUGAACGAACCACUGGUGGACCAGUUAUCGUGCCAACGGUAGUGCUGGGUAGCUAUGUUCGGACAGGAUAACCGCUGAAGGCAUCUAAGCGGGAAGCCCCCUUCAAAACAAGGUCUCCCUUGAGGGCCGUGGAAGACGACCACGUCGAUAGGCCAGAGGUGUAAGUGCAGC